GCCGGGUGUGGUGGUGCACUCCUGUAAUCCCAGCAACUUGGGAGGCUGAGGCAGGAGAUCACAAGUUCAAAGUCAGUCUCAGCAACUUAGCAGGGCCCUAAAACAACUCAGCAAGACCCUGCCUCUA
rnacentral:sRNA from 1 species